rnacentral:lncRNA from 11 species
GUUUCCUGCUAAUAUCUAAAGAUAUAUCUUUUCUCCCUUCUAUCACAGCUACAAUGUGCCUCUUAGUUCCUGUGGGGUUUUCCUGUUAUUUCAAUGAAAACAAAUGGACCCAGCUGCAUAAAUAGAUAUCUAGUUCACUGAAGUCCAAAGCUGAAACUGAUAUAGUUCUUCAGAGACUGACUACAGGAAAAGUUGAAGGUGGACAGUUAGAAACAGCUUGCGAGGACAGGAAAUACAAGCACACAAAUUUGCAUGCACUUAAGAAUGAAAAAUGCUAUUUGGAGGAAAUGGAUCCAAGUGAAUCAAUCUUUGGAGGAAUGGGAAGAAAAUGCUAUAUCCAAGAAAGGGGGAAAGCAUGCUGAUGCCUAAUUAUAUCACCAAAUGAUGAACCUACAAGCACGAUAUCACUUCCAUUGUAAGUAUCCUUUCUACAAAUCAAAAUUGAUUAUCACAGACUAGUGAUGCAACAUAUUUGAACUCUGGAGCUCAAAUUUAAUGUUAGAAUAAAUAAGAUCCAUGCUGGACCUAAUGGAA